CACUGGCAGAAGAUACACUCAGAAUGAGCAGAAAAUUCUUUUGUAUUUGCGGUCAGCUAUCCAGAUAAGUCAGAUUGACCAAUCAGAUAUUAGAAGUAUUAAAAGCUACAGCACUGAAAGCUGAAAAGAGUAAAGAGAGUUUCACAUGUAAGAUAAGGUGUAACGCUUCCUGGCAGGUUGGAUGUCACUCUUGGGGGCUCCUCUUUCAAUUGCACAGGCCUCAGUGGUCGCAUGUUUGGCACUGGUGAAGGAAGAGCUAGGUUGAACUGCAUACUACAGUGAUGUGUCUGGCACCUUGAGGAUGAUUUAGGGAGGGUAAGUAAAACACUUUUGCCUGUCAUGAAAAGGACAGAUCACGAUCAGUCUGUCACAUAUAAUUUGACAAUUUGCAAUGCUUGAACAACGGGAGGCCAAGGAACAUAUUUCAAACAUUGCUACUGAUAGAAGAGUUUUACAGUAGCUCCCAAUUUCUAUGCUGAAUAAAAGUCCUGAUUAAAAACAGUGGUAUAAUAGAUGGCCAUGAAGACUUGGUGCACUGGAACCAAAGGAGUUGCCUGAUUAGUUUUGGUCUUCAAGUUGAUAAUUUUUUAACAUGCAUGGGAAAUCAACUUCUAUGCUCCAAGGAUCAAGCAAGCAAGCAGGUGUGCUUCUUGGCAACUGAGAAU
ensembl:lncRNA